UUCUUCUUCUUGGUUAGCAGUACUGAGAACAAACAUGGAAGUCAACAAGACUUGGAAUUGUUUCUGUAGUUGUCAUCUUGUUUAUAGGAUCGUCACCACACUGAUCAAAAUAAGAAAAGAAUAAGUUAAAUGAAGUCAAAGAUCUUUCUAUCCAAAAACAUACUAAAUGAUAAGGAAAUUAUCUAUAUAGUUGAGUAUCUUUUAAUGUUAUUAGCUUAUGAAAAGGGCAUUUUUCUAUCAUGACUAUAAAUUGGUAAACUUAUUAUAGCCAGACAAAGAAGUCAUCUGACAGCCACUUAAACUACACAAAUAGAUAAAAAGAAAUUGAUACAUCAUUAAUAAUAAUAAUAAUAUAUAAAUCCAUGCUAAUUUUGCUUAAAGAAAGACCAACAGAAAGUGGUCACUUUUUAUUGUGGUUAUCAAAACAAAAAGGCAUGGUGUGUAUUUAAAAAUUUAUUCCUGCAUCUCACUGGGAAAACAUGCAAACAUUUGGUGUUUGAUUAGUAACAGGGUGAUCUCAGAAGAUAUACCUUGAUUGACCUCUAAGAGUUGCCUCACUUUGUCGAAAUAGAGCUACUGCACCGGAGCAAUGAUCUGAUGUAUCAUGUAUCUAGUCUUUCAACUACAUUCAUAUAAAUAGGAAGUAGCGACAUC
rnacentral:lncRNA from 1 species